AUUGGAAACGAUAGCUAAUACCGCAUAAGAGUAGAUGUUGCAUGACAUUUGCUUAAAAGGUGCAAUUGCAUCACUACCAGAUGGACCUGCGUUGUAUUAGCUAGUUGGUGGGGUAACGGCUCACCAAGGCGACGAUACAUAGCCGACCUGAGAGGGUGAUCGGCCACACUGGGACUGAGACACGGCCCAGACUCCUACGGGAGGCAGCAGUAGGGAAUCUUCGGCAAUGGACGGAAGUCUGACCGAGCAACGCCGCGUGAGUGAUGAAGGUCUUCGGAUCGUAAAACUCUGUUAUUAGGGAAGAACAUAUGUGUAAGUAACUGUGCACAUCUUGACGGUACCUAAUCAGAAAGCCACGGCUAACUACGUGCCAGCAGCCGCGGUAAUACGUAGGUGGCAAGCGUUAUCCGGAAUUAUUGGGCGUAAAGCGCGCGUAGGCGGUUUUUUAAGUCUGAUGUGAAAGCCCACGGCUCAACCGUGGAGGGUCAUUGGAAACUGGAAAACUUGAGUGCAGAAGAGGAAAGUGGAAUUCCAUGUGUAGCGGUGAAAUGCGCAGAGAUAUGGAGGAACACCAGUGGCGAAGGCGACUUUCUGGUCUGUAACUGACGCUGAUGUGCGAAAGCGUGGGGAUCAAACAGGAUUAGAUACCCUGGUAGUCCACGCCGUAAACGAUGAGUGCUAAGUGUUAGGGGGUUUCCGCCCCUUAGUGCUGCAGCUAACGCAUUAAGCACUCCGCCUGGGGAGUACGACCGCAAGGUUGAAACUCAAAGGAAUUGACGGG
rnacentral:rRNA from 1 species